rnacentral:rRNA from 1 species
UGGGGAAUUUUGGACAAUGGGGGAAACCCUGAUCCAGCCAUCCCGCGUGUGCGAUGAAGGCCUUCGGGUUGUAAAGCACUUUUGGCAGGAAAGAAACGUCAUGGGUUAAUACCCCGUGAAACUGACGGUACCUGCAGAAUAAGCACCGGCUAACUACGUGCCAGCAGCCGCGGUAAUACGUAGGGUGCAAGCGUUAAUCGGAAUUACUGGGCGUAAAGCGUGCGCAGGCGGUUCGGAAAGAAAGAUGUGAAAUCCCAGAGCUCAACUUUGGAACUGCAUUUUUAACUACCGGGCUAGAGUGUGUCAGAGGGAGGUGGAAUUCCGCGUGUAGCAGUGAAAUGUGUAGAUAUGCGGAGGAACACCGAUGGCGAAGGCAGCCUCCUGGGAUAACACUGACGCGCAUGCACGAAAGCGUGGGGAGCAAACAGG